AUUGAACGCUGGCGGCAGGCCUAACACAUGCAAGUCGAACGGUAACAGUAAGCCGCUUGCUGCUUUUCUGACGAGUGGCGGACGUGUGUGUCAUGUCUGGGAAACUGCCCGAUGGAGGGGGAUACCUACUGGAAACGGUAGCUAAUACCGCAUACCGUCGCAAGCCUAAAUAGUGGGACCUUAGGGCCUCUUUCCAUCGGUUGUGCCCAGAUGGGCUUAGCUUGUAGUUGGGGUAACGGCUCACCUAGGCGACGAUCCCUAGCUAGUCUGAGAGGAUGACCAGCAAAACGGGAACUGAGAAAGGGUCAAGACUCCUAGGGGAGGAAGAAGAGGGGAAUAUUGGACAAAGGGGGAAAGCCUGAUGAAGAAAGGCGGGGGGGAGGAAGAAGGUCUUGGGGUGUAAAAGUACGUUGAGAGGGGAGGAAGGGAGUAAAGGUAAAAACUUUACUAAGUGACGGUACCCGCAGAAGAAGCAACGGCUAACUACGUG
rnacentral:rRNA from 1 species